GAGGAGGCCACAAAGAUGACCAGAGGGCUGGAGCGCCUCUCCUGUGAAGGCAGACUGAGUUGGGGAUGUUCAGCCUGGAGAAGAGGAGGCUUUGGACACAUCU